UACGAAGGGUGCUAGCGUUGUUCGGAAUCACUGGGCGUAAAGCGCGCGUAGGCGGCUUCGCAAGUCAGGGGUGAAAUCCUUGGGCUCAACCCAAGAAUUGCCUUUGAAACUGUGAGGCUGGAGUGUCGGAGGGGAUAGCGGAAUUCCUAAUGUAGAGGUGAAAUCGUAGAUAUUAGGAGGAACACCGGUGGCGAAGGCGGCAUCUGGACGACAACUGACGCUGAGGCGCGAAAGCACGGGGAUCAAACAGG
rnacentral:rRNA from 1 species